rnacentral:misc_RNA from 1 species
AAGUCGUAACAAGGUUUCCGUAGGUGAACCUGCGGAAGGAUCAUUAAAAAAUUAAUGAAUGUCGGAGGGUGUUCGGGUUUUUUACCUGUCGCUCUCUGUGUAUUCAACCAACCCGCUCUUGUAUUUGGAUCAACCAAAAAUUAACAAAAUACUUAUCAUAAUAAAAAUAAACUUUCAACAACGGAUCUCUUGGCUCUC